GGCGGACGGGUGAGUAAUGUCUGGGAAACUGCCUGAUGGAGGGGGAUAACUACUGGAAACGGUAGCUAAUACCGCAUAACGUCGCAAGACCAAAGUGGGGGACCUUCGGGCCUCAUGCCAUCAGAUGUGCCCAGAUGGGAUUAGCUAGUAGGUGGGGUAACGGCUCACCUAGGCGACGAUCCCUAGCUGGUCUGAGAGGAUGACCAGCCACACUGGAACUGAGACACGGUCCAGACUCCUACGGGAGGCAGCAGUGGGGAAUAUUGCACAAUGGGCGCAAGCCUGAUGCAGCCAUGCCGCGUGUGUGAAGAAGGCCUUCGGGUUGUAAAGCACUUUCAGCGGGGAGGAAGGCGAUAAGGUUAAUAACCUUGUCGAUUGACGUUACCCGCAGAAGAAGCACCGGCUAACUCCGUGCCAGCAGCCGCGGUAAUACGGAGGGUGCAAGCGUUAAUCGGAAUUACUGGGCGUAAAGCGCACGCAGGCGGUCUGUCAAGUCGGAUGUGAAAUCCCCGGGCUCAACCUGGGAACUGCAUUCGAAACUGGCAGGCUAGAGUCUUGUAGAGGGGGGUAGAAUUCCAGGUGUAGCGGUGAAAUGCGUAGAGAUCUGGAGGAAUACCGGUGGCGAAGGCGGCCCCCUGGACAAAGACUGACGCUCAGGUGCAAAAGCGUGGGGAGCAAACAGGAUUAGAUACCCUGGUAGUCCACGCCGUAAACGAUGUCGAUUUGGAGGUUGUGCCCUUCAGGCGUGGCUUCCGGAGCUAACGCGUUAAAUUGACCGCCUGGGGAGUACGGCCGCAAGGUUAAAACUUAAAUGAAUUGACGGGGGCCCGCACAAGCGGUGGAGCAUGUGGUUUAAUUUGAUGCAACGCGAAGAACCUUACCUGGUUUUGACAUCCACAGAACUUUCCAGAGAUGGAUUGGUGCCUUUGGGAACUGUGAGACAGGUGCUGCAUGGCUGUCGUCAGCUCGUGUUGUGAAAUGUUGGGUUAAGUCCCGCAACGAGCGCAACCCUUAUCCUUUGUUGCCAGCGGUUAGGCCGGGAACUCAAAGGAGACUGCCAGUGAUAAACUGGAGGAAGGUGGGGAUGA
rnacentral:rRNA from 1 species